rnacentral:ncRNA from 2 species
CUAUUCAGGGCGCACUUCGGUUCCGUCCGGGCCUGCCCGGCGGAUGAAAAGGGAACGCGGUCCGGCCAUCUGGCCAAAUCCGCGGCUGCCCCCGCAACUGUAGGCGGUGAGCGACGGCCAGACACACCACUGGGGCAUCCGCCUCGGGAAGGUUGGCCCAAGCGAUGACCCGCAAGCCAGGAGACCUGCCGAGGUGAUCACCUUUCC